rnacentral:rRNA from 1 species
AGAGUUUGAUUCUGGCUCAGAACGAACGCUGGCGGCGUGGUUCAGGCAUGCAGGUCGAACGGUCCCGCAAGGGACAGUGGCAAACGGAUGAGGAACACGUGGAUAACCUACCCGGAAUUUGGGGAUAACACUGCGAAAGCGGUUGGUAAUACCGAAUGUGAUAUAGUUGUACUUCAAUUAUAUCAAAGAUGGCCUCUAUUUAUAAGCUGUCGAUUUCGGAGGGGUCUGCGUCCUAUUAGCUAGUUGGUAGUGUAAUGGACUACCAAGGCUAUGAUGGGUACCCGGGCUGAGAGGCUGGUCGGGCAUAGUGGGACUGAGAUACUGCCCACACUCCUACGGGAGGCUGCAGUCGAGAAUCUUUCGCAAUGGGGGAAACCCUGACGACGCGACGCCGCGUGAGCGAUGAAGGCCUUCGGGUUGUAAAGCUCUGUCACUGGGGAGGAAAGCUAUCGGAAUGAAUAAUUCUGGUAGUCGACAUUACCCGGAGAGGAAGCCCCGGCUAACUCCGUGCCAGCAGCCGCGGUAAUACGGAGGGGGCAAGCGUUGUUCGGAUUUACUGGGCGUAAAGGGUGCGCAGGUUGGCAGGUAAGUGAUAUGUGAAAGCCUACGGCUUAACUGUAGAACUGCAUAUCAAACUGCUUGUCUAGAGUAUGGAAGAGGUAAAUAGAAUUCUCAGUGUAGCGGUGAAAUGCGUAGAUAUUGAGAAGAAUACCAUAGGUGAAGACGGUUUACUAUUCCAAUACUGACGCUCAGGCACGAAGGUAUGGGGAGCAAACAGGAUUAGAUACCCUGGUAGUCCAUACAGUAAACGAUGUCAACUUGGUGUGGGAGGAUUCGACUUCUUCUGCGCCGUAGCUAACGCGUUAAGUUGACCGCCUGGGGAGUACGGCCGCAAGGUUAAAACUCAAAGAAAUUGACGGGGGCCCGCACAAGCGGUGGAGCAUGUGGUUCAAUUCGACGCAACGCGAAGAACCUUACCUGGGCUUGACAUGUAUUUGACAAGGUGUGAAAGCACCUCUCCCGCAAGGGCAGAUACACAGGUGUUGCAUGGCUGUCGUCAGCUCGUGUUGUGAGAUGUUGGGUUAAGUCCCGCAACGAGCGCAACCCUUACUUCUAGUUACUAACGGAUAAUGCUGAGGACUCUAGAGGGACUGCCAGUGAUAAACUGGAGGAAGGUGGGGAUGACGUCAAGUCAUUAUGGCCCUUACGUCCAGGGCUACACACGUGCUACAAUGGUCGGUACAGAAGGAUGCAAUAUCGCGAGAUGGAGCUAAUCCCGGAAAACCGGCCCCAGUUCAGAUUGUAGUCUGCAACUCGACUACAUGAAGUUGGAAUCGCUAGUAAUGGCGGAUCAGCUACGCCGCCGUGAAUACGUUCCCGGGCCUUGUACACACCGCCCGUCACAUCACGAAAGAUGAUUUUACCUGAAGUCGCAGAACAAAUCCGUCACAGGAUAGGAAGCGCCUAGGGUAGAAUUGUUGAUUGGGAUGAAGUCGUAACAAGGCA